rnacentral:rRNA from 1 species
AUUGAACGCUGGCGGCAGGCCUAACACAUGCAAGUCGAACGAGCGGCGGACGGGUGAGUAAUGUCUGGGCAACUGCCUGAUGGCGGGGGAUAACUACUGGAAACGGUAGCUAAUACCGCAUACCAUCGGAUGUUCCCAGAUGGGAUUAGCUAGUAGGUGGGGUAACGGCUUACCUAGGCGACGAUCCCUAGCUGGUCUGAGAGGAUGAUCAGCCACACUGGGACUGAGACACGGCCCAGACUCCUACGGGAGGCAGCAGUGGGGAAUAUUGCACAAUGGGCGCAAGCCUGAUGCAGCCAUGCCGCGUGUAUGAAGAAGGCCUUCGGGUUGUAAAGUACUUUCAGUGGGGAGGCGUUACCCAAAGAAGAAGCACCGGCUAACUCCGUGCCAGCCGCCGCGGUAAUAC